UACGUAGGGGGCUAGCGUUGUUCGGAAUCAUUGGGCGUAAAGCGCGUGUAGGUGGCUUGGCGAGUCGGUUGUGAAAUCCCGGGGCCCAACCCCGGAACUGCAUUCGAAACUGCCUCGCUAGAGUCCCGGAGAGGAAGGCGGAAUUCCCGGUGUAGAGGUGAAAUUCGUAGAUAUCGGGAGGAACACCAGCGGCGAAGGCGGCCUUCUGGACGGUGACUGACACUGAGACGCGAAAGCGUGGGGAGCAAACAGG
rnacentral:rRNA from 1 species